rnacentral:rRNA from 1 species
AGAAUCAACGCUGGCGGCGUGCCUAACACAUGCAAGUCGCACGAGAAAGGGGAGCAAUCCCUGAGUACAGUGGCGCACGGGUGAGUAACACGUGAAUAAUCUACCUCCGAGUGGGGAAUAACUGAGAGAAAUCUUAGCUAAUACCGCAUAACACUUACGAGUCAAAGCAGCAAUGCGCUUGGAGAGGAGUUCGCGGCAGAUUAGCUAGUUGGCGGGGUAAUGGCCCACCAAGGCGAUGAUCUGUA